rnacentral:rRNA from 1 species
CCUACGGGAGGCAGCAGUGAGGAAUAUUGGUCAAUGGACGAGAGUCUGAACCAGCCAAGUAGCGUGAGGGAUGACGGCCCUCUGUGUUGUAAACUUCUUUUAUAUGGGAAUAAAACAGGGUAUGCAUACCCGCAUGUCUGUACCAUAUGAUUACGGAUCGGCUAACUCCGUGCCAGCAGCCGCGGUAAUACGGAGGUUCCGAGCGUUAUCCGGAUUUAUUGGGUUUAAAGGGAGCGUAGUCGGAUAGUUAAGUCAGUUGUGAAAGCCUGGGGCUCAACCGUAAAAUUGCAGUUGAAACUGGCAGUCUUGAGUGCAGUAGAGGUAGGCGGAAUUCGUGGUGUAGCGGUGAAAUGCGUAGAUAUCACGAAGAACUCCGAUGGCGAAGGCAGCUCACUGGACUGCAACUGACGCUGAGGCUCGAAAGUGUGGGGAUCAAACAGGAUUAGAUACCCCUGUAGUC